UACGAAGGUCCCGAGCGUUGUUCGGAAUCACUGGGCGUAAAGGGAGCGUAGGCGGCGUGGUAAGUCAGAUGUGAAAUCCCGGGGCUCAACCCCCGGAACUGCAUCCGAUACUGCCGUGCUCGAGGGUUGGAGAGGUAGCUGGAAUUAUCGGUGUAGCAGUGAAAUGCGUGGAUAUCGAUAGGAACACUCGUGGCGAAGGCGAGCUACUGGACAACAUCUGACGCUGAGGCUCGAAGGCCAGGGGGAGCAAAAAGGG
rnacentral:rRNA from 1 species